CUCAAAAGCCACUUCAUUUUUUUUUUCACUUCAAGAUCAGCUUGAGCUCUCUUGAAAAUAUCUACGGCAUAAGCUUUUCCCUUUUUUAUGAGAAACCUUGAGUGUUGCUUUGUUUAGAUCAUUGUCGAGUGUAACAGAAGUGGCUGAAGAAAUACCUUUUUUCCCAACAUGUGACACAGAGGAGACAGGCCUGUUCAGCACCCAGAGAGCAUUUUGAACAUGUCUAAGUCUGACAGAGAAAUAACCCUUAUCAAGAGCUGAUGGACCGAGGUAAGGCAGCACAAUUCUACUUUUCUGUGUGUGUGUAUUUAUGUGAGUGUUUAUGAGUUUGUACAUCACAGAAAAUUGCCUGCAGAGAAUGAAAAUAUGAGGUGCGGAGAGCAUGUGAAUUAUUCAUCCUCACCUUCCUGCGACUCUGUGAUUACACUCGGCUAAACUCCUAUUUACAUCCAUUUAGUGAGGCCCACAGUUCACAGGCUCUGACCACAGCUAUUGGGGAGCAUUCACCUGUCUUAUUACCUAUUACCUAGACCACAGCUCAUGUUUAAAGGAUGUCUGUGUCAUUUCAGAAUAGUGUUCACGAUGUUUCUUUGAUUUGUAAGCUAUACCUUACCCACACACACUCACUCACAGCCUCCUGUUCUUGUGAAAAUACAGAGAUGCCUCGUGAGGAUUGUACUGUACCAGCAUAG